AUGGGUAGUCUGUUUGCCCUGACUGUUCUUCUUGAUCAUGGCUUUUUCAGCUGCAGUCUGGUUUUCCUUUCCAGUCUACUCAGGAUGUCUGCAGAGAAACAGAGGUCAGGCAAGACUUCCCUUGAGCUAUCACAGAAGAGGGGGCUACUGCAAUCAAACUUCUGCAGGAGUUAUAAAUAGAAGAUCUUACAAUGGGAAGAUAUACAUCUAUUGACAAAACAAGGAUUGGGAUUUAGGAACUCCAUAUAUACUUUGGCUCAUCUGUAUGUCACCAUCACAUCUCAAGUCGUGAAAAUGCUCUGCUGGUCAGCAUCCCACAGUAUUGGAAGCUGUGUGUACACUGUAUGCAUAUGAGGGAUACAGUAGUCUCACACUUUUUUCCUUUGGAAACUCUAAAUCCAUUUUAUCAAUUGUUGAGUUGUUGCUCAACUUUCUGGAUCAUUAUCACACUUCUCAUAUUUUGUUGAUAUUUCUUUAUCAUAAUUUCUUCUCAUGCAUACUCAUCCAAUAUCUCCAAAACCUAAGAACUGCAGGGGAGCAUGCAGACAGGCAGAGGAGAGCAC
rnacentral:lncRNA from 1 species